rnacentral:misc_RNA from 1 species
UGCUUUCUCUAUCUCUUACUAUGUUCCCUUCUUUUUUUUCUUUUUAGGAUCUGGGGAUUUUGAAUAUAUCUAAAAACCUUUCUGAUAUUACAAAGUCUGAGAAGAAGUCCGACUAUAAAACUGAGCUACGCCGAGUUAGACAAAAAGCAAAAGAUGUGUACCUGUCGGAGCCAAGAAGGUCUGCACGGGCAAGGAAUCCUGUUCCAACAUACCGUGAUGAAAUUGAUAUAGAGCUUCCAUCUUUACGGAAGAGAUCAAAAUUCAGCUCUUCAUGGGCAAGUUAUCUAGCAAGACCAUUGGAAGAAGUGAAAGUUGCUUCAUAUGAAGAGAAGGUACUAGCUUUAAAGUGUGCG